UACGUAGGGUGCGAGCGUUAAUCGGAAUUACUGGGCGUAAAGUGUGCGCAGGCGGCCGCGCAAGUCGAGUGUGAAAUCCCCAAGCCUUAACUUGGGAACUGCAUUCGAGACUGCAUUGCUAGAGUAUGGGAGAGGGAAGUGGAAUUUCCGGUGUAGCGGUGAAAUGCGUAGAUAUCGGAAGGAACAUCAGUGGCGAAAGCGACUUCCUGGACCAAUACUGACGCUCAUGUGCGAAAGCGUGGGGAGCAAACAGG
rnacentral:rRNA from 1 species